rfam:Triticum aestivum genome assembly, contig: Triticum_aestivum_CS42_TGACv1_scaffold_405035_5BL
UUUCUACUCCCUCGGACCGGAAUUACUUGUCGUGAAAAUGGAUGUAUCUAAAACUAAAAUACGUCUAGAUAUAUCCAUUUCCUCGACAAGUAUUUCCGAACGGAGGGAGUACUUC